rnacentral:rRNA from 1 species
GUGGGGAAUAUUGGACAAUGGGCGAAAGCCUGAUCCAGCCAUGCCGCGUGUGUGAAGAAGGUCUUCGGAUUGUAAAGCACUUUAAGUUGGGAGGAAGGGCAGUAAGUUAAUACCUUGCUGUUUUGACGUUACCGACAGAAUAAGCACCGGCUAACUUCGUGCCAGCAGCCGCGGUAAUACGAAGGGUGCAAGCGUUAAUCGGAAUUACUGGGCGUAAAGCGCGCGUAGGUGGUUUUGUAAGUUGGAGGUGAAAUCCCCGGGCUCAACCUGGGAACUGCCUCCAAAACUACUGGGCUAGAGUACGGUAGAGGGUAGUGGAAUUUCCUGUGUAGCGGUGAAAUGCGUAGAUAUAGGAAGGAACACCAGUGGCGAAGGCGACUACCUGGACUGAUACUGACACUGAGGUGCGAAAGCGUGGGGAGCAAACAGGAUUAGAUACCCUUGUAGUCC